UACGAUUAUUAUUCAAGGAGCAACAUCCCAUCCAGGAAACAAAGGGAGCACCACGCCUGACUGCACACACACCACCACCACCAACGUUCCCUCUCAACCGACGCAACGCAAACUACUAACAGUCCAUCAGACUACUAAAAAAGCGACACCCGGAUCAAUGAUGGAACAAGACCUUGACAAGGUAGGUAAAUUUAACUCUUGAAGCAAAGAGCAGCAACGAACGCCCGCCGCCUAGCAAAAGCAGACUCUUUUUUUCGCCUCCGGGAAGGGAAAAAAAGAAAGAAAUGGCAAGGGAAAAGACACGACACUCCGAGUGCUCCCUCUCGCUCAUCGAUCGAUCAGGUCUGUGGCCGCCGUCGCGCAUCACUUGCUGGAGGGCUCUCCCUCCACGGCCAGCGGCACGGUGCUCGCCAUGGUGCGGUACUUGAGCGCGUACAGCAUCUCCAGGUACCGCCGGGUCUCGCGCCUCUCCAGGUUGGACACGUACUUCCAGAACCCGUACACGCCGGUGAGGGUCAUCAGCCUCUCCGAGUAGAGCUUCCAGGUGUACCUGCAGUACCGAACGCGACGACCGGUAAGAAGCACAUCAAAAAAAACGGCUGGGGAAACCAUCUUCACGUCAGUGCAUACUUCUCCUCGAUACGCUGGAGCCCGCCCUGGGAGAUCUUGCUCCAGUGGCUCGGGUCCGCCUGGCACUUGUCGAAGAAGUCCACGAGCAGGGCCGACGCCUUGUCGCCCUGGUAAGGGUCGAUGUGGUAGCCAGACACGCCGUGCACGAUGAUCUCGGCCGGACCGCCGUAGGCUGUGGCAAACGUGGGCAGGCCGCAGGUCAUGGCCUCAACCACCGUCAGCCCGAAAGCCUCGUAGAAAGCAGGCUGUGCACAGAUAGAACAGGCACCAGGGGUCAGUUGCAACCAAGACCUCUGAAUAACAGCGCAGCAGCUGGUGGUUACGUUACGGCUCUACCUGCACGAAGGCGCCCUUGGUGUCGCAGAUGUAGCGGUACAGCUCGCCGUUGCGGACGCGGUUCAUCUGGGCGGAGAUCCAGCGGAUGUGCCCGUUCAGGUUGUACUGCUCGAUGAGGUCAAACAUCUUCUUGAACUCGGCCUGCUCCUCCUUGUCCUUGGAAGGGUUGCCAUGGUCGCCGCAGACGACCACGAGGUUCACCAGCUCCUGCAGCCGCUUGUUCCGGCCGUACAGCUCCACCAGCCCAGUCAAGUUCUUCACACGGUCGAGACGAGCCAUGGAGAAGAUGAUUGGCUUGUUCCUGUCGUUCAGAACGAACCUGCACGGGCGUUUGCAG
rnacentral:lncRNA from 1 species